AUUGAACGCUGGCGGCAGGCCUAACACAUGCAAGUCGAGCGGAUGAAGGGAGCUUGCUCCUGGAUUCAGCGGCGGACGGGUGAGUAAUGCCUAGGAAUCUGCCUGGUAGGGGGGGAUAACGUCCGGAAACGGGCGCUAAUACCGCUUACGUCCUGAGGGAGAAAGUGGGGGAUCUUCGGACCUCACGCUAUCAGAUGAGCCUAGGUCGGAUUAGUUAGUUGGUGGGUUAAAGGCCUACCAAGGCAAAGAUCCGUAACUGGUCUGAGGGGAAGAUGAGUCACACUGGAAGUGCGACACGGUCCAGACUCCUACGGGGGGCAGGAGUGGGGAAUAUUGGAGAGUGGGAGAAAGUUGGACCCAGCCUUGGCGCGUGGGUAAAGAAGGGCUUCGGAUUGUAAAGCACUUUAGGUUGGGGAGAAGGGCAGAAAGUUAAAACCUGCCUGUUUUGACGUUACCAAAAGAAAAAGCACCGGCAAAUUUGGU
rnacentral:rRNA from 1 species